rnacentral:lncRNA from 1 species
UACUGAAUAAAUGUUUUAAUCAAAAGCCUCUACUAAAAGCUUAAAUCAAAGAUAAAUGCAUAAUAAACACCCUACUCUUUGGCUUGCGCUCACUCUGCUUUCGGUUUCACUUCUGCAAAACCUGCAACUUCAAAAGCCUAUAACUUCCUGUCUCAUUUCGGUUUAUAGAUUCAACUCAACAGUUUAAAGUGGUUCUUACUGGACCUGUAAUAAAGACUAAUAUGAUACCAAUAUAUUUGAACAUUUGAAUGCAAUAUCAAUACCUCUUGUAGCAAUACUUCUUGUAUACAUAUGCUUGCUAUAUGUUUAUGAUGCAACAGUAAUGACAGUAAUACCAAUAAUAACAAAAUAAUAAAUCAAAAUAACAAAACAUACUACUUCCUCCUCCACACAGCAUAACUAAGGGAGGAUUCAGGUUCAUAAUGUAAACAGAAUUGGUCCUAGCACUGAACCCUGUGGAACACCAUAACUGACCUUAGUGUGUGAAGAGGACUCUCCAUUUACAUGAAUAAAUUGUCUAUUAGAUAGAUACGAUACAAACCGCUGCAGUGCAGUACCUGUAAUACCUACAGCAUGCUCUAAUCGCUCUAAUAGAAUAUUAUGGUCAACAGUAUCGAACGCUACACUAAGGUCUAGCAGGACAAGCACAGAGAUGACUCUAAUGUCAGUAGUAAUACAGAUGCAUGUGUCCAAGAUGGCGGCCAACCAAACCGGUUUGACAACCUGUUUGACCGGUUUCGUGCGUGUGCGCAUGCGCGUUCAGGUGUGCUCGGGGUUAUGUGAGUUCAUGUGUUUUUAACUGGGUUUUAAUUUAAUCAAACCAUAGGGUUUUUAAUUAAACUAUUCUUAUCAAUUUUGGCAUGUCUCAAAAUUCAAUUAUGCAGACAUGUGUGUUUUUAAAAGCAAUUCUUUGUUUUGCGUGGAGGGGUGGAAGCCGUUUUGGUUCACAGGGCGCCUUAACAAAGCUGGAAUGCUUUUUAUUUACAUCUCGUCAAAAGUGUUGGUAAUUGUGUUUUAAUCACACUAAUUUUGUGAUUCUGACAAUGUCUUAGCAUGCAGUGGUGCAUGCAUUUUAUUUUAAAAAUGGAACAAAUGGGAAUUUCUUCUGUACGGGUAAUUUCAUCCUUCAGGACUGUUCACAAGCGUUUCAUUUAAUCAAACCACUAGUUUUAAUUUAACUAGUUUUUGCGCAUCUACUGGGGUUUCUUUCACGGGAUUGAUGCGAUCAUUUCGGAAUGUUGAACUAAGAGGGAGACAGAGCCAGCUAGUUUUUUAACACAGUAGUUGGUCACAAAUAACAUUCAGCCCCUUUAGAAAAUAAACGCUAUUGUGGUAGUUCUAAAACACGUUGCACAAGAUGUCAACUUUUUGUGAUUCUGAUGUCUCAGCAUGCUGUGAUGCAAACAUUGUAUUUAAAAAUGGCUCAAACUGGAAUUUCUUCUGUACGGUUUCAGAGUCUACUAGUUUUUUAACACAGUAGAAGGUCACAAAUAACAUUCAGCCCCUUUAGAAAAAUAAAUGCUGCAGUGAUACUUCUAAAGCCAGUCGCACAGACCCCCAUCCGUCUUUUCAACAGCCAGUUAAUUGUUUGAAAUUGUUCAGGAACACAAAAGCC